rnacentral:rRNA from 1 species
CAGUCGCCGCGGUAAUACGAAGGGUGCAAGCGUUAAUCGGAAUUACUGGGCGUAAAGCGUGCGCAGGCGGUUCGCUAAGACAGAUGUGAAAUCCCCGGGCUUAACCUGGGAACUGCAUUUGUGACUGGCGGGCUAGAGUAUGGCAGAGGGGGGUAGAAUUCCACGUGUAGCAGUGAAGUGCGUAGAGAUGUGGAGGAAUACCGAUGGCGAAGGCAGCCCCCUGGGCCAAUACUGACGCUCAUGCACGAAAGCGUGGGGAGCAAACAGGAUUAGAUACCCCCGUAGUCCCUGUCUCUUAUAC